rnacentral:rRNA from 1 species
UACGGGGGGUGCGAGCGUUGUCCGGAAUCACUGGGCGUAAAGCGCACGUAGGCGGAUUGUUAAGUCAGGGGUGAAAUCCUGGAGCUCAACUCCAGAACUGCCUUUGAUACUGGCGAUCUUGAGUCCGGGAGAGGUGAGUGGAACUGCGAGUGUAGAGGUGAAAUUCGUAGAUAUUCGCAAGAACACCAGUGGCGAAGGCGGCUCACUGGCCCGGUACUGACGCUGAGGUGCGAAAGCGUGGGGAGCAAACAGG